AACCCAGGUGAGAGUAAGAAAUCGUGUGAUGGGAAACCAAAAGCAUUUCUUUUUUUUUUUGAGCUCAUCUUUUUUGUUUUUCCUUUCCUUUCUUUGGAUCUAGGAAAGAUGAACUCAGAUCUGAGACAGCCAGCCCUGCUAGUGCUGUGGGUACAUGGAUAAUCUGUCUAGCUUGAACCUUAAAAGCUGUAAAAACAGCUAACUUAACCUAAUUAAGGAGAGUGUUUGGGUUCUUUUUUGCUCUAUGUGGGAAUGUUGCUGGGGCAGACUGCAGGAAAAUGGGUACACAUGUAGCAUCAGAAGAUUUCUUCUGAAAUUGCGGUGACUGUACCAUCUGCCUGCACUGUGGAAGGUCCUGCCUUCACCAGAUGAUAAACUGAGCCAAAGGGAUGACAGAUAUUCCCAACGUUUUCCCAGGGCUCAGCUGUGGCCACAGGGGUUUGAUCUGAUAGCACCAACUCUGUAAGAUCAGCCAUGGUAGAGCAAGGCACGGGGUUCUGCUCCCAGCAGGUUGUGUGUUGGACCAGGGCAUCGUCUGCAGUCCCAGCAUGCCGCUGGGCCAAGUCAAACUUGGCUUUCCCCUCUUCUUUCUGUCCUGCCCAAACCCUCCCAUGGAAAGUACUGACCCAUCAGUGCCAUGGCUGUUGCUCAGCCUGAUCCUGCUCUUGGCUGAGCUGGUCAAGUCAUCUCCACCAUGAGGGGAGGCUGUGUGUGUGCUUCUCCUUGGAGCCACAGCAGUGUCUCUGGCUGCCCUGAUUCAACAUGGCCUUGUGUACAAAUAACCCUUCAAGGCUUCAACGUGGGUGGCAGUGUGUGCUCUUUGGGGUCACCAGGCCGUGUGGUUUCUGGCUUAGCACCCCUGCCGGGGAACUCUGUCCGUUGGGUGCUCGAAGUCAUCCCUGGCUUCCUGCAGGCCUGAUGUAGAGCUGCAGAGCUGCCCGUUCUGUUUUUUAACCAGGGUUUUCCUGUUCUGGCAAUGUUUUGUCUUUGAAACCCAGUGCAGACCCCCACAGAGAGCUCCUGUAUUGAACUGCAAGGCGCUGGGGGCUGUGCUCAGGGAGCUGGUUGGGAUCAGAGGCUCCCUGUGGUGUUGCGGGCAAAGAGGAGGAGUGGGCUGGUGGUUUGAGGACAUGGGAUGAAAUGUUUCCCUGUGUGUUGAUGGUGUCCUCGUUGCUUGGGUUGGUGUACGUGUGCUUGCCAGACCCUGCAGACCCCCAAGCCCAGAUAAACUGAGCCAGUGCUGUCUUCUGUGAGAUGGGGGUCCCCAGAGACUGUGGGUGAGUGUGAAGCUGAGGUUUGUUUAAGGGGGAAGGAUGUAAAGGUCAACCCCAUGGGCUGCCAGGCAGCAGCGGCAUCUCUGUGAUGCUGCCAGAGUGGACUGAUCUUCUUAUUUGCAUACAGGCAUCUAAAAUUUCUGAAGUGUAUUUGAACUUGUAGAGACUAUGAUAAACCUUUUCUGACUGCUGGGAUGUAUCACUGAGGGAACUUUAGGGUACACCUAUAGGACCUAUUUGCUUUAGGGUCAUCUAAGUUGCUAGGACUUCUUGAAUUGGCAUAGAGAAUGGGUUGGUCUUCAAGUCUGUGCUGGGAAGGCUUUUUUGUCUCCACAUAGGGAAACAAUCUGUUUUUCUUUUUUUUUUCCUCUGAGUUCAGUUGUUAUUGUCCUAGUUUUUGAGCAAAACUUAAGAAGAAAACCCCUCAGAUGGUUCACUAUUUUGUUAUGAUACCAGGAACAAGGAGUCUUUCCAACAGAAGAGAUAAUCCCUUGUCUCAUUAAAUUUAUGACUUCAAAAAAAACUCCUGCUGGCCGUUUUCUGUGGGGGCUAUUUUCUGAGGCAGCUUCUUCGGUUUUGAAUGGUUUCAUUCCUCAGCGCUUCUUUUGAGUGGAAAGUUUAAAGAUGCGUCAUCUUGCAUGAGCAGGGCGAUAAACUGUGAAGCAAAUGUGAAGAGCCUUAGAAAAGGGCUGUACAAAAUGCAGAUGUAGGGGAUUAGAAAACAGAACUGCACUACAUCCAGCGAUAAGUAGGGUUGGACUCAGCAAUUUCUGAGCAGUUGCACCAGGGAGGGGCAGGGAAUAAUGAAUUAUUUGCUUUUUGGCUCCCAGCAAGCAAAGCAGAGGCGGGGAAACCUCUGGGGUAGGUUUGUGCCUUGGGUGCUACAGUGGUGCUGGCCAGCAGUGGUCUCUGGACAGGGCUGGGGGUGGCAGGGAGGUGAAUUACACUGCAGUGUCUGUUAGGGGCUGUGGUCUCAUCGCCUGUUAGCCAGACAGGGCACAGGGAUAACAACAUCCCAUUGGAUUUCAUGUUUAUCAAGUGUUGCACACUCCAGAACGGUUGGUAUUUCCAUGGAGGAAACUCAGCUGCUGGCAACUGUGUCUUGCUGCUGUUUGGGAGAUACAAAGUGAGAGGAGGGACUUUCAAGCAAUAGAGAUGCUUUCAGGUAAGGAAAACCCAACGUGUAGCUAUCGGGAGCAUACCCAGGCUGUAAGUUUUGAAGGCUGGAGUGCCCCAGACCAACACUCAGAAGUAUGGCUUUGGUGACUGAGAGAAAAUCAACUCUUGCCUGAAGCAGAGAGGGAAGCCCUGGACCCUGGCUCUCAUCUAUUAAUAGUCCAAUUCAUUUUAUCACAUCUCUAUUUGCCUGAAAGUUUUUGCAGUUUCCCCAGGGCUCAAAUUGCUCUCGUGGCUGGGGGCACCGCACUCCUUGAGUUCCUGGAGAGCCUGCCUUGGUUUUGCAGUGCUAAUCAUCACCUGUCUGAGCAGCUUUGCCAGGGGUUUUGCUUUUGCUCAGGAAGUAAUCAUGCAAAAGCUCCAACUGAGUGUUGAGGCUCCACCUCGAGCUCAGGGUUUCCUACACAGCCCUCUCCCUAUGAGAUUACUUUUGUGCCUUCUCCUUUGGCUUGCUCGUCUUACUGGAGGAGCAAAACUGCUGUCAGCCCCUUGGUGCUCUGGGGUAAGAUCUGUUGAUGUGUCCUGAGGCCAGAGUCUCUUUUUGUUCACAAGAAAUUUUCAGGGUACAGACUACAAGUGGUAUGAUUAAAAAUUUGAGUUGGAUAUCUUUAUUUUUUUUCUCCUCUGAUCAGGUCUUUCAUCACUUGUCUCUUGCUAACCAGGGAAGCUCUGAGACUUGGGCAGAUUUCAGAAUUUCCAUCUACCCCAAAACCUGCAGAUUUAGUCACCACUGUCCCAGCUUCACCAGGCUCUCCAACUGCCUUUGACUCAGUGAGUAGCUGUGCAGGCUCACUUUCUUGCUGGAGCUUUUUGAUAGACCAGACCCACCUUUUCCUUGUGCUGAGCCUGUAUAUGCACUGUCUUCAUGGGCCUCUGAACCUAUCCCUGCCAGGUGCAUUCCACCAAGAUGGGAACCUGUGGAUGUAGAUCUCUUUUCUGUUUAAAGCUUGUGGAGAGGCAUGGGGGAUCUUAUAAGUAUUUUCUGCUGGAUCUCUUUUGCUAUUUCUUUCUCCUGUUUCCAUUUCUUUCCCUUCUGAAGACUAUCCAAAGACAUGAAUAUUAUGCAAUGGACUGUGAAGGACUUGAGAGAGAAAGCUGUAAAAUGCACAUCAGCCACUUCAUAAAUGUCAGGGAUGCUGUUCAGAAGCAUGGCUACUCGAGUUUAGCCAGUUCUGUAUCUCAAGUGAUCCCUGCAGAUUUAUUAGAUGUUUCAAAAUAGAUUUGAAAUAACUGGAUUUAGUGUUUCUGGCGAUUCCUUGAACCAUCUUGUUUUUCAGCCAACUUGCAUAAAUGUGCCAGUCAUGGGCUGCAGUGUAUCAGCCAACUUAGCAAAUGGUUUUAUUUAUAGCUGAAAGAGUGAAGCCAAGGAGUAUAAAUCCUGAAAAAAAGUAUAAACUGUAUUGUGGAAUUAAUAAACUUCAGAUUCAUGGAAUUUCUAAUGUUCCACUGAUGGCUAAAAAAUCUGUUUAAUGGCCGCUGAGUGAUACUUGGCUGCAAAGCAGAAACCCCAAAGUUGUCUUAACUCAUCAGUGAUAUUUUUUAGUGUUUGUGUGCUGGCGCUGAAUGUCUUUGCUGAAUGAUGGAAAGCUGACCUUCUCCGCCGCGUUUCUGCAGCGACCAGAUAAGAUUUCAGAUCACAGCUUCGCUUCUUCUGUUGAUGGUCUGUGGCUGUAGCCCAAGAAGCGCUGUUGGAUGUCGGGCUGUUUAUCUGGAGGAUCAGUUGCGUGUCUGGCUAACUUUGGGGGUGUGAACGAUGUUCAGUGCUGAAAGCAAGUGCAGGGGAAGGAGCUGAGGAGUUGAGAGUGGAUCCUGUGCUUUCAGAGUGUGGCUGGCCAGCCGGGGGAGGUCCAGCUGCAUCUUCAGAAACAACCAGUGUGUGUUGGACCUUUAGAGGUAAGUAGAUCUGGGCUGUUGAGGAGGCGUCUUCCUCCUUCAUCUUUCAUCUCCAUUGAAACUGCUUGUGAUUUUGGUGUAUUUUUAAGCUAGUGACUGUAACAUUCUUUUUCACAGUGAUUCAUUAAAGUUUCAGGACCUUAUUGCACAUCCUUUCCUCGUAGGUCAGUGUCAGGGCAAGUGUGUUGCAGAGAUCUCCUUGCUACAUGGAUUAUUUAUGUGGGAAUGCAUAGGACCUGUGUGGGCAUUUAACAGCUGCUGGUUGGCAAAUCUGCGUGUAGGAGUGUUGUCCUGGGUGGUGCUGGUCAGGGAGCGUUGGCAGCAGCCUGAGCUUGGGUCCUCUUCCUGGGCGGGGGCUAUGGAAGGAAUGGUGACAGCAGAAACCACCGAGCCUUCGUGGUCCCCAAGGCAGGGGGUUACAGCAUGAUGUCUUGAGCACGUGGGUGCUGUUUUGUGACUGCAGCGAGCUUGGGGUGCUCGUGGCCAUUCCUAUAGCCUGGCUGAGUGGCACAGAUGUGCUCCAUGGCAGCCACAGUGUGUUUGCACUCGCUGUGUCUGCAGGUGAUAGCCAGGUGUCCUCCUUGAGUGUUGUGUCCCUCAUGGUUGGGUGUCCCUGACCUCAGAGAAGAGCAGUGUCUCCAGGGUCAUUACUCUCAGUCUCUCAUCUCUUACUGUGCUUUGUCAACUUGGACCAGCUUGACUUUUCGUGCAUGUAGCUGCUGCUUCCCAUUCGAGAGAUGGUCUCUAAAAGCAUAGUUAUAAUUUAUUUAUUUAAUUUAUUUUAGAGCUAAGUUCAGCUAAGCAAGUUUGCACUUUUCUAGGUUCUAGUGAUUGACACUGUGUUUGAACACCACGUUCAAAGCUAAUAUUUCUUGCAGGUGCUGGGAUAAGUAUCUGUAAAUCUUUGCAUUUACCAUUAUCCCCAAUUUUCUUGUGCAGUGCCUGCUGUCACCGCAUAAGGGUAUUUAUCCUGCACAUAAUCUGAUUGGAAAAUAACGCUUUGAAACAGAAAGGAAAAUACACAUUUCAGGUGGUGUUAGAAAUGUCAGUUGUGGAUGCUUAAACAGUCCUGAUUGUCUGCAGGCUUUGGGGCAUUUGGGUUUUCAGCUCCCUAUUGUUACAUCUAAAGCUGCUUAUUGGAGUCCGAAUAGGUUAGAAAGGCACCUUGUUCCUGAGACCCUCAGAAGUCUGCCUUUCCCCCACCGUGGAGGAUGGCUUCUCACAGCCCAGCCAGUCAAGCCUUAACCCUUGGCUUAGACAGCGUGGGGCUGAACAAAGAGCUGCAGCUUUCAGAUGGAGCAGAAUAAAAAGCUAUUAUUUCAUAAUAAUACUUUACUCUUUCCUUCCAAGGAUUUCCUAAGGACUUUACAAAUAUUAAGGCCUGGGCAGUCACCCCCAUGACUGAGAGCUGGAGAAGUGGCUGUGUGUGGGCAUCUCAAGAGCUGAACAUGAGUCAUAAUCUCUGCUCUGGGGUGAUUUCAAGACUCAAGUUCCCUGUGCAGUUAAUGCCUGUAAGAGGUCAGUGUGUGGGACCAUGAGGAUGUUUAGGGCCAGGAGAGCCUCCUGAUUUGCUUUGUUCUGUACCAAUUUCUUAGCCUUGUUCCAGCUCCUUGACUCUUGCCAGUCCUUGUUGGGUCUUACAUGAAGAUGGUGGUGACUGGGAUCAAGGAUGCUCUCUGCACAGUCCAGAUGGACUUCUUCAUGCCAUCCCUCGGGCAGGGAAGAUGAAAAGAUUUCAGUGCUCAUUUAGAUGCCACUGUGGGGGUGGUGGAAAUCCAGCUGUUUCCUGGAGUGCUUGUACCCAACCCUCUGUCUCUGCCACCAUCACAGCAUUAGGUGGGAUUGAGGUAUCUUUGUGCAGAGGGCCGUGCUUGCAGCCCCUUGUCCCUGUGGUGGGAGGAGAGAUGGGGUACAGGGUGUCUUCCCCAUAAUAUCUAGUCCUGUCAUUGAGCAGAUCAGACCCCUCCUCAAAUUAAAAGUGGGAGCUUCUCUUACCAGUGAGGCUGAGAAUCUUUGCUCUUUCAUCCAUCUUCUCCUGCCUUUGUAGUCCUCUGGGGCACCAACAGGAGCUGUUUUACGUUGUGAGUUUUUCUUCUCCCACCGCUUCUUCAAUUGCACCUUAAAAUUGGCACCUCUGGGAAUGUUGUGGACUCUCAGCUUGGCAUCUGGCAUUUCUGCCCAGCCUGGGGCCAGCUGUGUCUGGCUGUGAGCAGCAGUGGGUGAGCAGUGCUGAGAACCUCCUGUUCCCAUGGAUCUGGGUACUUCUGUGGAGGGAGCACAUGGCACUGCCCUCUUUGUCCUCACAUCAUCCCUCAAAGACCUCCCUCUGGCCGGCGUUACAGACGGGUGGAUAGAUCAGCUGCCAUUUUCUCUUUCAAACAGUGACAAUAAGUCUCUUUCCUUUGCAGGGACAAUUAGUUUCUUUCCUUUGCGAGGUGUUUGGUUGGAAUGGGCUGACCCCUCUUCAUGGAAGGAGGGCCUUUGUCCCUUGUGUCCCUGGGAGAAGCCACAGCAUGGACCAUUUAUGGUUUUUCCUUUUAACACAGUGACGGCGGCUUUGUUUUCUACGUUUAGUUUGCAUCUAAGACCAGGACAUGGCUCAUGCUGUGUCCCUGAUCCAGUGUUUAAAGCUUUGCUGUGAUAUAAGUUUGGCCUGGGCCCUGCAGGGUUUAGCUUAAUUUUUAAAGCUCUCAAUGUGAAUAAUUCCUUGCUGAAUGCAGAUCGCAAGAGGGGAUAUUGAUUUAAAGCUUUAAAGCUGGUGGUUAUGGAUUAAAAAAAAAAGGAGAGAGGAAAGAAGGAGAUUUACUGUAGUCAGAGCUGGUUGCCUAAAUGUUAGUCCCUUACAGACAGGCUUUUGCUGAGCUAGGUGUGGGAAUGGCAAGGAAGCCUGGUGAAUUUUAGCUUUAAAUUGUUGGCUGCUGAAAACCAACCCUGGGGUACACUCAAUAACUGUUUGCUGUGCCAGGGGAGCAUUUGCUGCUGCCUGGGCACUGUCUCAGUACAGACAUGCUGUGGGGCUGCAGCAGCUAACCUGGACCCUUCCCUAGGGUAGGGGAUCAGGGGGAGGAUGGGUUGGGUUGGGCUGAUGCUGCUGUGCAGCCACACACAGACUGUAACUGGAGUGGCGGGUAGGGAACACUCAGAAGAGCAGGGAUGUAGCAGCUCGGAAAGAACAUUGUGGGGAAGGAAGCUUUGGUACGAAAGAUGCAGUGGAAAAUAAAGAGAAUUAAAAGCAGGCUGUACGUCCAGUUAGCAGACAGGGCUCUGAGGUCACUAAUGCUGGUUAUUUGGAUUUCAAAGAGGAUCCUAUUAGCUUCUGUGGCGGAGAACCAUUAAUCAGUGGGGCGGGAGCUCGGGCUGGCUGGAGAAAUCAGUUUUCAGUGUCCUUGAUGUCCUGCCGGGCUGGCGCUGCAGAGCAUCCUGCACAAUGGUGGGUUUGUCUGGGAUGAGGCACUUCUAGCCAGAGGCACUGUGUGGAAUGGGGAAUGGUAGGCCCCUCUGCCUGGGAUCCGUGCAGGGAUAUAUGGAUGUUGUGUCCAUGCAGACCCCAUUGUAAAUUCCCAUCUUGAUGCUACUGUCCCAGGGAAUAUUGCUGAAUUGCUCUAAAUGAGUACAAAAACUGAGUUACAUACCUUUGGCAAGCAUCCAGUUAAGUUUGCUAAAUGGGAUUAGGAGAGAAAAAACAGUGUUUCCAGGUGUGACUGUUGUGAUCCUUUGGAAAUAUAAUCUCUGGCCUGCCUUUUUGUUCCAAUUGAGAACAUGUGCCCAGGAGCCAUUUCCAAAGGAGCUUUAAGCACAGGACUCAAAGUAACAUUGGAAGUUUGAGUUGGACUUGCACAACAGCCUUGCUUUCCAAGCCUGGUGCUUUAAAAACCUCUGAGAGAAGCCUCUUAGUAUUUGGAAGAGUAAUUUGCUGUAGAAAGAUGCCAUAAGUAAUGCAGAAAUGUUGGGCUCAGAGAAGGGUUGUUUGGAAAAAAUCAAGAUCUGGAUGUGGUGGUAGAAUCUGAAACAAAACUUUUUUGUUAGUUUUUUUCCUACUUUUUGGGUAGUUUUUUCUCCCAAAAAAGUGUUUGAAACCUCCUUGCUUGAAAUAUUUAAAUUUUUGUCAAAACAUUUUAUCUGGGAAUUGAUCUAACACUUCAUUGUUAUUUAAAUCCUCCAGACGUCAUCAGAGGAAGAUAUUUAUCAACAAUUACUAUCUCUAACAUCCAUAAACCCCAAUAAUUUCUUCUUCUACAUGUAGAUUUAAACCCCCAGUCUGAUCCGUUAAGACUUUGUAGGGACUGAUAAGCAGAACUUUAAAAAAACAAAAAGGACAAUAAAAAUGGUUUUGUGUAGAAAUUAUGGCCAUUGCUUUGAGAAACUUGAUUAAGAUCAGCAAGUCUCUGGCUGCACUGAGUAUACUUAAAAUCCCUAAUUGUCUGGCUUUUUGUCUGCAGAAUGAAUUUAUAAGAAAAAGGAGAACCCAGGCCUACUAUCUUAACAUGCCUGGAGUUCAUGAGUAGAGCUGAGUUUCAGAGAAUCCUGCCUUGUUUUGACUACAUCCUUAAAAUGGAGAUCUGGAGAUUAGUGUGGUGGGCCUGGGGUCAUCUCUUUGCAGAAUGUGUAGUCUGAGACACACAAGAUCUUUUUCUUCAGACGUCCCUUCUGGUUGUGGUGUUUGAGCCUUUGCUUUGCUCCCUGGCUAAGAGUAGCGUUAAUCAUAGGACUGGAAUUUGUGACUUAACCAAAGAAGCGUUUUAAUGCUUUUCCUGUCAUUGAUCAAUGGCUGGAAGCCACUCUCUCGGUAGCAUGUCCACAUUGACCUCUGUGUUGGUGCUUGAUGGGUUCCCGUCCUUCUGGGUGCCUCCCAGCCCAGGAAUGCCUUCCAGUAUGCCUGCCUUUCUCCUUUGGAAAGGGAUGCUCUGAACUUGGACCCCUUAGAGACAGAAAAGAGGCUUUUUGUGCACGCUGCAAAGGGCUCUUGUGUCUGCAGCAGGGCACGACAGAGACCUUCCUUCUGAAUCUGUACUUGGAGAACAAAAAAAAAGCCCUUGCAUCAGAACUUGCUAUUUAUAUUUCUAGCUCUGAGACUCCUCAGCUGCAUUAUUAAUGAAGCGUUUACCAAUUAAGAUAGAUGAGUCUGCUCUUGAGGGUGUUUGUUAAGGUAAGGAAUCUUAUUAGCAUAUCUGAUAGAUACAGUGCCAGGUGCUGAUUAAAACCUUGUUGACUCCCCAGGGGCAGAAGUCUUGAGGAAAUAAGGUGGAGAUAGUUGUCCUCUUUCCUGGCUUUGGCCGUGCAGGGAGCAGGAAGAGAAAUUCAACAUUUGUCCCCAAAGGCAGAGCCCUGAGCCUGUGAGCAGCUUGAAAUGGGCAUGGGGAGGAAAUUAAUCAGCCUGGAUCAGAAAUUCCAAUAGCUGGAGCGAUGCAAGUGUGAUUAAUGCCUCCUGAAUGUGAGAGGUGGCAAGAUGCUAGUUUUGCUGCUCAUGCAAGGCUAGCAGCCUGUCAGGCGAGGAAUUAGUUUCCAGUGUUGACCCUAUGGGUUUCGGAGGUCUGGAAUCGAUGCUUGCCUAUGUAACAGUCUUUCAGCAGCUCACUAAAUUAGGUUUGCAGGCAAAAUGAUGCUGUGAGGUACAGUCAACCCACAUAUGAAACCAAUUUCCCUUUGAAGCAGCACUAAAGAGGGCAACCAGAAGAGAAACGAGAUCAUCUUUAGGUCUCUCGUGACCUACAAGAGUUGAGAAGUGUGUAUUCACUUUCCAUAUUUAUUAUAAUAUGGCAAAGGAACUGCAUUGUAGGCUUUAAUGAUCCGCAUGUGAAGAGCAUCUUAAAAUAGACUUCAGAUCUCCUUGGAACAUACAUAUGUGUUUAUAAUUUUACAGCUAUAAAAAUAUAUAUUUACUGAAUACAUGUACUUUGUUUUUCCAUCUGCUAAAUAUAGUCACGUAUGAAAGUUAUAUGGAAAAUGUAAUUUUCCCCCGAAUUAUCCUGCUGUCAGUCUGCUUCAAUUUCAGCGUCGGCAGAGGCGAGAGUGGAGAUGGGCACUGUUGUGCUGCCAAGCAGGUGUCUGGGAGCAGUUUGCCUCAGGAUGGGGAUUACUGGAGAUGGGGUUGGUGGUACCAGCUAUUAUGAAGCUUUGUCCAAUUGUUAACGAGAUAAAAUCCUGUGUUCCGAUUUGCUUGUGAUUCUGUUGGGAUUUUAAACAUCUAUGCUUGGAAUUUUCAUGCUGGAUGUUGACCUCAAAUGGUUUGAUUUUAA